rnacentral:rRNA from 1 species
GACGAACGCUGGCGGCGUGCCUAAUACAUGCAAGUUGAGCGAUGAAGAUUGGUGCUUGCACCAAUUUGAAGAGCAGCGAACGGGUGAGUAACGCGUGGGGAAUCUGCCUUUGAGCGGGGGACAACAUUUGGAAACGAAUGCUAAUACCGCAUAAUAACUUUAAACAUAAGUUUUAAGUUUGAAAGAUGCAAUUGCAUCACUCAAAGAUGAUCCCGCGUUGUAUUAGCUAGUUGGUGAGGUAAAGGCUCACCAAGGCGAUGAUACAUAGCCGACCUGAGAGGGUGAUCGGCCACAUUGGGACUGAGACACGGCCCAAACUCCUACGGGAGGCAGCAGUAGGGAAUCUUCGGCAAUGGACGAAAGUCUGACCGAGCAACGCCGCGUGAGUGAAGAAGGUUUUCGGAUCGUAAAACUCUGUUGGAAGAGAAGAACGUUGGUGAGAGUGGAAAGCUCAUCAAGUGACGGUAACUACCCAGAAAGGGACGGCUAACUACGUG